rnacentral:misc_RNA from 1 species
GAUGAAGAACGUAGCGAAAUGCGAUAAGUAAUGUGAAUUGCAGAAUUCAGUGAAUCAUCGAAUCUUUGAACGCAUCUUGCGCUCCUUGGUAUUCCUUGGAGCAUGCCUGUUUGAGUAUCAUGAGCAAAUCUCAAAGUCAAUUCCUUUUGUUGAUUCAAUUGGUUUUGCUUUGGACUUGGAGGCCUUGCAGAUUUCACAGUCUGCUCCUCUUAAAUGCAUUAGCUGGAUCUCAGUAAUUAUGCUUGGUUCCACUCGGCGUGAUAAGUAUCACUCGCUGAGGACACUGUUAAAAAGGUGGCCAGGAAAAUACUGAUUGAACCGCUUCUAACGGUCAAUUAAGUUAGACAAUUACCCUUAAGUUUGAUCUCAAAUCAGGUAGGACUACCCGCUGAACUUAAGCAUAUCAAUAAGCGGAGGA